rnacentral:rRNA from 1 species
AUUAUUGAAAUAUUAUAUAUAUAUAUAUAUAUAAAUAAAGUAUUUAAAUAAAAAAAAAAAUUUUAUUUGGAAUAAAUUUAGUAUAUUUUUAAAAAAAAUUAAUUUAAGAUUAAAGUAAUGAAAAUGAAAUUUAUUAAAUAUUAAAAAGAAAAAUUAAUUUUAUAUACCUUUUGUAUCAGGGUUGAUUAAAAUUUAAUUUUAUUAUUUUAUCUCGAUUUAAUAAGAUUUAAAUAUUUAAUUUAUUUAAUGUUUAAAAAUUAUUUUAAAUAAAUAUUUAGAAGAGAAAUUUUAUUCGAUUAUUAAUAUAUCUAGUUUUUUAAUAAAUGAAUUUAAUUCAGAUAAUUUAUUAAUAUUAAUUUAAUUAUAUAAUAAUUAAUUAUUAAGAUUUUUAGGGUUAAUCUUAAAAAUUAUGUUAUAAUUUAAAUUUAUAUUUAUAAAUAAUUUAAUUAAAAAUAUUAAUUUAUAAAAAAAGUGUUAUAAUUUAUUAAUAUAAAAAUAAAAUUUAAUUAAAAUUUAAUAAUUUAUUAAAAUGAUUUUUAUAAUUAGAUUAAAAUUUAAAUAAUGAUUAAAUUAGUAUAAAAUUUAUUUAAAAUAUUAAUUAAAUAUUAAAAUUAUAAUUUAAGAAUUAGGCAAAUUUAAUUUAAUUAUAAUAUAUUCACCUGUUUAACAAAAACAUGGUUUUAUGAUUUUAAUUUAAAAUUUAACCUGCUCAAUGAAAUUUAAAUAGCUGCAGUAUAUUGACUGUACAAAGGUAGCAUAAUCAAUAGUUUUUUAAUUGAAAGCUUGAAUGAAUGGUUUGAUGAGAUAUAAACUUUUUUAAUUAUAAAUUUAAAAUUUUUUUAUUAGUUAAAAAACUAAUAUAUUUUUAAAAGACGAGAAGACCCUAUAGAAUUUUAUUAAUUUAAUAUUAAAAUAAAUAUAUUAAUUAAAAUUAAUAUUAAAUUAAUUUAAUUGGGAUGAUUAUUAAAUUUAAAAAACUUUAAUUAAUUAAACUUAUAUGAAAGAAUUUAUGAUCUUUAAUUUAAAAUUAAAAGAAUAAAUUACCUUAGGGAUAACAGUAUAAUUUUUUUGGAGAGAUCAUAUUGAUAAAAAAGAUUAUAACCUCGAUGUUGAAUUAAGAUAAAAUUUAAAAGCAAAAUUUUAAAAUUUUUGGUCUGUUCGACCAUUAAAAUCUUACAUGAUUUGAGUUCAGAUCGGUGUGAGCCAGAUCGGUUUCUAUCUUUAAAUAAAAUAAAAUUAUUUGUACGAAAGGACUUUUAUUUUUAAAUAAUUUAUAUUAUUGAAUAAAUUUAAUUAAAUUAAUUUGACAGAAAAUUGUAAUAAAUUUAGAAUUUAUUUAUGUAUUAAGGAAUACAAUUA